CUGGUGCUACCAGUAUGCCCCAUUGUCUUCUAUGGCUUUUUAUUCCUAUGUGAUUAUAUCACUAAUUUCAUAUAGGGAUUGAAGCCAUGUAAUACGCUGGGGAUUUGCAACAAAGAAUGCU
rnacentral:pre_miRNA from 11 species